rnacentral:rRNA from 1 species
GAUGAACGCUGGCGGCGUGCCUAAUACAUGCAAGUCGAGCGAACGGACGAGAAGCUUGCUUCUCUGAUGUUAGCGGCGGACGGGUGAGUAACACGUGGAUAACCUACCUAUAAGACUGGGAUAACUUCGGGAAACCGGAGCUAAUACCGGAUAAUAUUUUGAACCGCAUGGUUCAAAAGUGAAAGACGGUCUUGCUGUCACUUAUAGAUGGAACCGCGCUGCAUUAGCUAGUUGGUAAGGUAUCGGCUUACCAAGGCAACGAUGCAUAGCCGACCUGAGAGGGUGAUCGGCCACACUGGAACUGAGACACGGUCCAGACUCCUACGGGAGGCAGCAGUAGGGAAUCUUCCGCAAUGGGCGAAAGCCUGACGGAGCAACGCCGCGUGAGUGAUGAAGGUCUUCGGAUCGUAAAACUCUGUUAUUAGGGAAGAACAUAUGUGUAAGUAACUGUGCACAUCUUGACGGUACCUAAUCAGAAAGCCACGGCUAACUACGUG